rnacentral:rRNA from 1 species
GGAUGCGAUCAUACCAGCACUAAAGCACCGGAUCCCAUCAGAACUCCGAAGUUAAGCGUGCUUGGGCGAGAGUAGUACUAGGAUGGGUGACCUCCUCGGAAGUCCUCGUGUUGCACUCCU